rnacentral:piRNA from 1 species
UACAAUGUGAAAAGUUUCAUU